rnacentral:rRNA from 1 species
CCACACUAGUUCCCAACGUUUACGGGGUGGWCUACCAGGGUUAUCUAAGCCUGUUUGCUCCCCACYCUUUCGCUCCUCAGCGUCAGUUACGGCCCAGAGAUCUGCCUUCGCCAUCGGUGUUCUCCUGWUAUCUGCGCAUUCCACCGCUACACCAGGAAUUCCAAUCUCCCCUACCGCACUCUAGUCUGCCCGUACCCACUGCAAGCYCGAGGUUGAGCCGUCGGAAUUUCACAGCAGACGCGACAGACCGCCUACGAGCUCUUUACGCCCAAUAAUUCCGGAUAACGCUUGCACCCUACGUAUUACCGCGGCUGCUGGCACGUAGUUAGCCGGUGCUUUUUCUGCAGGUWYCGUCACUCUCGCUUCUUCCCUGCUAAAAGAGGUUUACAACCCGAAGCCGUCAUCCCUCACGCGGCGUUGCUGCAUCAGGCUUCCGCCCAUUGUGCAAUAUUCCCCACUGCUGCCUCCCGUAGAGUCUGGGCCGUGUCUCAGUCCCAGUGUGGCCGGUCACCCUCUCAGGCCGGCUACCCGUCGACGCCUUGGUGAGCCAUUACCUCACYAACAAGYUGUAUAGGYCGCGAGCCCAUCCCCAACYGAAAAAUCUUUCCACCCWCACACCAUGCGGUGAUUGGGACAUAUCCUAGUAUUAGACGCCGUUUCCAGYGCUUAUCCCAGAGUCWUGGGUAGGUUGCUCAYGUGUUACUCACCGUUCGCACUAAUCWCCCAKCAWKUAGGUUYAUCGUUCGACUUGYAUGUGUUAA